rnacentral:rRNA from 1 species
CCUACGGGAGGCAGCAGUAGGGAAUCUUUCACAAUGGGCGAAAGCCUGAUGGAGCAACGCCGCGUGCAGGAUGAAGGCCCUCGGGUUGUAAACUGCUUUUAUAAGCGAGAAAUAUGAUGGUAACUUAUGAAUAAGGAUCGGCUAACUACGUGCCAGCAGCCGCGGUCAUACGUAGGAUCCGAGCAUUAUCCGGAGUGACUGGGUGUAAAGAGUUGCGUAGGUGGCAUAAUAAGUAGCUAGUGAAAUCUGGUGGCUCAACCAUUCAGACUAUUAGCUAAACUGUUAAGCUCGAGACCGUUAGGGGUAACUGGAAUUUCUAGUGUAGGAGUGAAAUCCGUAGAUAUUAGAAGGAACACCAAUAGCGUAGGCAGGUUGCUGGGACGGUUCUGACACUAAGGCACGAAGGCGUAGGGAGCAAACGGGAUUAGAUACCCCUGUAGUC